rnacentral:tRNA from 1 species
GGCGGAUUGCCCGAGUGGCUAAAGGGGCCGGACUGUAAAUUCGGUAGCUCAGCUUUCACUGGUUUGAAUCCAGUAUUCGCCA